rnacentral:rRNA from 1 species
UGAGCAAUCUGCCCUUCUCUUCGGAAUAAGCGUGGGAAACCGCGUCUAAUGCCGAAUACGACCUCCUUUCGCAUGAUCGGAGGUGGAAAGCUCCGGCGGAGAAGGAUGAGCUCGCGGCCUAUCAGCUAGUUGGUGUGGGUAAUGGCCCACCAAGGCGACGGACGGGUAGCCGGCCUGAGAGGGUGACCGGCCACACUGGGACUGAGACACGGCCCAGACCUCCGUACGGGAGGCAG